rnacentral:rRNA from 1 species
UACGAAGGGGGCUAGCGUUGCUCGGAGUCACUGGGCGUAAAGGGUGCGUAGGCGGGUCUUUAAGUCCGGGGUGAAAUCCUGGAGCUCAACUCCAGAACUGCCUUUGAUACUGAAGAUCUUGAGUUCGGGAGAGGUGAGUGGAACUGCGAGUGUAGAGGUGAAAUUCGUAGAUAUUCGCAAGAACACCAGUGGCGAAGGCGGCUCACUGGCCCGAUACUGACGCUGAGGCACGAAAGCGUGGGGAGCAAACAGG